CACAUAGAAGCACUGUGGCGUGCUGAGAGGAUGCAAGAACGUCUACAAAAGCACGAGCAGCAUCUCAAGAAAAUUUGUAACAAUUAAGAGACUAAUAACGCUUCCAUGAGAAGUCAAAUGGAACUCAGAAUUAAAGACCUGGAAUCAGAGGUCUGUAAAAUGAAAAUUCAAGAAAAUUCUACUAAA